AUCCAGUUGACGGGUCCCAAAUAGGACGAAACGAACAUCUUGUAU
rnacentral:hammerhead_ribozyme from 1 species